GCGGUUUGUUAAGCGAGAUGUGAAAGCCCCGGGCUCAACCUGGGAACUGCAUUUCGAACUGGCAAACUAGAGUAUGAUAGAGGGUGGUAGAAUUUCAGGUGUAGCGGUGAAAUGCGUAGAGAUCUGAAGGAA
rnacentral:rRNA from 1 species